GACGGAGGAUGCAAGCGUUAUCCGGAAUGAUUGGGCGUAAAGCGUCUGCAGGUGGCAGUUCAAGUCUGCUGUCAAAGACCGGGGCUUAACUUCGGAAAGGCAGUGGAAACUGAACAGCUAGAGUAUGGUAGGGGCAGAGGGAAUUCCUGGUGUAGCGGUGAAAUGCGUAGAUAUCGGGAGGAACACCAGUGGCGAAGGCGGCUACCUGGACAAUUGCUGACGCUCAGGCACGAAAGCGUGGGGAGCAAAAGGG
rnacentral:rRNA from 1 species